UGGCCUGUGCCCACCUAUAUGGGUGACCUCU
rnacentral:piRNA from 1 species